ACUGUUUGGGAUCUACUAUGUUCUCAACAUCCAGUAUCCUAAUGAAGCAGCGGCAACAUUAGAGUUCAUUCAAAGGUGUUUCAUGGGAAUCAAUCCAGAUGCAGGGUUGAAGACCU
rnacentral:lncRNA from 1 species